rnacentral:piRNA from 1 species
CCGCUCAGGAAGGGUGUAGGCUCGGACACU